UCGACGGAACCUUCGGGUUUUAGUGGCGAACGGGUGAGUAACACGUAAGCAACCUACCCUAAAGACGAGGAUAACCAUUGGAAACAGUGGCUAAGACUGGAUAGGAAGAUAAAAGGCAUCUUUUAUCUUUUAAAAGACCUAGUAAUAGGUAUGCUUUAGGAGGGGCUUGCGCCAUAUUAGUUAGUGGGUAGGGUAAUGGCCUACCAAAACGAUGAUGUGUAGCUGGACUGAGAGGUUGAACAGCCCCAUUGGGACUGAGACACGGCCCAAACUCCUACGGGA
rnacentral:rRNA from 1 species